rnacentral:lncRNA from 1 species
CGACAACAUGAAGGUAAGUGUACUGAAAUCACAAAAUUUGAAACAAUAAGCGCUAAUAGUUGUGUUUUCUUUUAAAUUUUAGGCCUUGAUUGUUCAACGAGACGGCCCCCGUCGUGCUGGUUUUCAAGGUGCUCCCUCGCUGCCUAGAAGAUGCUGAUGCGGAAUAGAAAAUGCGAAAACGUCGCUUGCUCAACCGCAAAUUGACGGCUACGCUGAAGCGCAUGCCGUGUCUGCGGAAUUUGAACCCCGAGCUUUCCAGAGUUCCUUGGAAAAUCCUCCCAUGCACCUGCCAUGUACAUUGCCCUCCUCCUCGAUGUGGCGUGCAAGAUGGCAGCAGCAGCUGUGGGAACAGUUGAAGAGGCGAAGAAAGGUCCACUUUAUAAUAGGUUGUAUGUAAAUAAAACUGAUCGACCUCAA